rnacentral:lncRNA from 1 species
AAAAGUUAUAGCGGACGGACUAUAACUAAAUGCUAAAAUUAUAAAUUGCCAAUGUGCAGGUAUUGUCAGGUACAAAAAUAUAAACUACGCACAAUAUAUUGUGCACAGUUUUACGUUCCACAAUUUUAUAUAAAUGUUACUUACAUGGCGAUAUAAGGAAUGUUGUUAUAUUCAACAACGAAACAAGAAAACUAAAAUUCCGUUAAAUGGUUAGUUGGUGUUUGAUGGAUAUCGGCUUUACUGCCCUUAGACAAAUAUAGGAAUGUAACAUGAUUAUGAACAUAGGAAUAUAGAAAAUUCUAAGUGCAGUAAAUCCGAUGACCAUCAAACACCAGCCAGCUACCACGGAACUUUAAGUAUGUUCCACA